AGCUCAACUCUGCGGAGGAACAACACUAGAAAUAAGGCGCAGAAGGAAACCAGAAAGGGCAAAGCACAAGAAAGUGUGAAAAUAACAAGCCACACACUGGAGUAUAACGUUUUGUUAGAUUUCAAGUCCAUCAAACCACUGUCAUCAGGGCUGAUCAUACCUCUAAAUAGAAAGAAAUGUAAACCUUUGGAUUCAAUGAUCUUGCUAAAGGAUACAAAUGUGUCUUUUCUUAAAUGUAAGGGGAACGAUGUAUGCAAAGAGUGUGACAUCAUACACCUUCAGGUGGGUCCACCUCCAGCCACACAAGUAUUAUUUCUAAUGGACGAAGAACUACAUCUUCAGUUUAAGUAUCUGUUCAAGCGGAUGAUGGUUAAUGUACGAGGGAUAGACAUUAACGUCUCCGUAUCUAUGCUCAUGGAUAGUAAUGUUUCAGUCGCUGGAGAGCUUGCUGAACAGAUGAAGUUGACGUAA
rnacentral:rRNA from 1 species